UCCUACGGGAGGCAGCAGUGGGGAAUAUCGGACAAUGGGCGCAAGCCUGAUCCAGCCAUACCGCGUGGGUGAAGAAGGCCUUCGGGUUGUAAAGCCCUUUUGUUGGGAAAGAAAAGCGAUCGGUUAAUACCCGGUUGUUCUGACGGUACCCAAAGAAUAAGCACCGGCUAACUUCGUGCCAGCAGCCGCGGUAAUACGAAGGGUGCAAGCGUUACUCGGAAUUACUGGGCGUAAAGCGUGCGUAGGUGGUGGUUUAAGUCCGUUGUGAAAGCCCUGGGCUCAACCUGGGAAUUGCAGUGGAUACUGGGUCACUAGAGUGUGGUAGAGGAUAGUGGAAUUUCCGGUGUAGCAGUGAAAUGCGUAGAGAUCGGAAGGAACAUCUGUGGCGAAGGCGACUAUCUGGGCCAACACUGACACUGAGGCACGAAAGCGUGGGGAGCAAACAGGAUUAGAUACCCUGGUAGUCCACGCCCUAAACGAUGCGAACUGGAUGUUGGGUUCAACUUGGAACCCAGUAUCGAAGCUAACGCGUUAAGUUCGCCGCCUGGGGAGUACGGUCGCAAGACUGAAACUCAAAUGAAUUGACGGA
rnacentral:rRNA from 1 species